UGCGGAGUCAGCCAGUGGCAGGCUGCCUGUCUCUGAAGCAGGUCACGGAGGUUCGAAUCCUCCCUCCGCAG
rnacentral:tRNA from 1 species